AUGGCGGACGCUGGCUUGCGCCGCGUGGUUCCCAGCGACCUGUAUCCCCUCGUGCUCGGCUUCCUGCGCGAUAAUCAACUCUCGGAGGUGGCCAAUAAGUUCGCCAAAGCGACAGGAGCUACACAGCAGGAUGCCAGUGCCUCUUCCCUCUUAGACAUCUAUAGCUUCUGGCUCAACAGGUCUGCCAAGGCCCCAGAGCGAAAGUUACAGGCAAAUGGACCAGUGGCUAAGAAAGCUAAGAAGAAGGUCUCAUCCAGUGACAGUAGUGAGGACAGCAGCGAGGAGGAGGAGGAAGUUCAAGGGCCUCCAGCAAAGAAGGCUGCUGUACCUGCCAAGCGAGUCGGUCUGCCUCCUGGGAAGGCUGCAGCCAAAGCAUCAGAAAGCAGCAGCAGUGAAGAGUCCAGUGAUGAUGAGGAGGAGGAGGACCAAAAGAAACAGCCUCUCCAGAAGGGAGUUAAGCCCCAAGCCAAGGCAGCCAAAGCUCCUCCUAAGAAGGCCAAGAGCUCUGAUUCUGAUUCUGACUCAAGCUCCGAGGAUGAGUCACCAAAGAACCAGAAGCCAAAGAUAACACCUGUGGCAGCUAAAGCUCAGGCUAAAGCUCCUCCCAAACCAGCUCAAGCAGCACCUAAAGUAGCCAAUGGUAAAGCAGCCAGUAGCAGCAGCAGCAGCAGCAGCAGCAGUGAUGACUCAGAGGAGGAAAAGGCAGCAGCCACCCCCAAAAAGACUGUACCUAAAAAGCAAGUUGUGGCCAAGGCCCCAGUGAAAGCAGUUGCCACCCCUACCCAGAAGAGUUCCAGCAGUGAGGAUUCCUCCAGUGAAGAGGAAGAGGAGCAAAAAAAAAAAAAAAAAAAAACCCUGAAAAAUAAACUAGGUCCCUACAGUUCAGUUCCCCCACCUUCUGCUCCACCACCAAAGAAGUCUGUGGGAACCCAGCCUCCCAAGAAAGCUGUGGAGAAGCAGCAGCCUGUGGAAAGCAGUGAAGACAGCAGUGAUGAGUCUGAUUCAAGUUCUGAAGAAGAGAAGAAACCCCCAACUAAGGCAGUCAUCUCUAAAGCAGCCACUAAACCACCUCCAGCAAAGAAAGCAACAGAGAGCUCUUCAGACAGCUCAGACUCUGACAGCUCUGAGGACGAUGAAGCUCCUUCCAAGCCAGCUGGUACCACCAAGAAUUCUUCAAAUAAGCCAGCUGUCACCAUCAAGUCACCUGCAGCAAAGCCAGCUGCAACCCCCAAGCAACCUGUGGGCGGUGGCCAGAAGCCUCCCAUGAGAAAGGCUGACAGCAGCUCCAGUGAGGAAGAGAGCAGCUCCAGUGAGGAGGAGAAGACAAAGAAGAUGGUGGCCACCAAUAAGCCCAAGGUGACUGCCAAAGCAGCUCCACCUCUGCCUGCCUAGCAGGCUCCUCAGGGUAGUAGGGACAGCAGCUCUGAUUCAGACAGCUCCAGCAGUGAGGAGGAGGAGGAGGAAGAGAAGACAUCUAAGUCUGCAGUUAAGAAGAAGCCACAGAAGGUAGCAGGAGGUGCAGCCCCUUCCAAGCCAGCCUCUGCAAAGAAAGGAAAGACAGAGCAGCAGCAGUUCUUCCUCUGAUGACUCCAGUGAGGAGGAGGAGGAAGAGAAGCCCAAGGGCAAGGGCUCUCCCAGACCACAAGCCCCCAAGGCCAAUGGCACCUCUGCACUGACUGCCCAGAAUGGAAAAGAAGCUAAGAACAGCGAGGAAGAGGAAGAAGAAAAGAAAAAGGCAGCAGUGGCAGUUUCCAAAUCAGGUUCAUUAAAGAAGCGGAAGCAGAAUGAGGCUGCCAAGGAGGCAGAGACUCCUCAGGCCAAGAAGAUAAAGCUUCAGACCCCUAACACAUUUCCAAAAAGGAUGAAAGGAGAAAUCAACUUCUCUCUCCUCCUUUUUCCUCCUCCACCUGAAUAG